GACGAACGCUGGCGGCGUGCUUAACACAUGCAAGUCGAACGAAGUGGCGCACGGGUGAGUAACGCGUAAUCCACCUGCCCUUCAGAGGGGGACAACAGUUGGAAACGACUGCUAAUACCUCAUACUGAAGGAGGGGAUUGCGUCUGCUUAGCUAGUUGGCGGGGUAACGGCCCAGCAAGGCGAUGAUAAGUAGCCGGUCUGAGAGGAUGAACGGCCACAUUGGGACUGAGACACGGCCCAGACUCCUACGGGAGGGAGCAGGGGGGAAGCUUCCGCAAUGGACGAAAGGCUGACGGAGCAACGCCGCGGGAGUGAUGACGGCCUUCGGGUUGUAAAGCUCUGUUAAGCGGGACGCGGUACCGGAAUAGAAAGCCACGGCUAACUACGUGCCAGCAGCCGCGGUAAUUC
rnacentral:rRNA from 1 species